AGCCUUAGUUUUGUUCUUGGGAUAGGGUCCUACUGCAGCUCUGGACCAGAGAAGCUACCCAGCAUCAUCUGCUUUGGGAAGGGGUGGGCAAGGACUUUCUCUUUGGAUUAGUUUGUGGGGUUUCUACUCUGCCUCAUUUCACUGAGCAUAUUUGGUGCUCCCUGGUGGGUGGCUGCAGACCUUUCUGAGCCCGAGACUGGGGUAGCGUUUUCCCAAUCAGCCUGAAAAUACUGUGCAGUGCCUGGAGCACAAAGGUGUAAGAAUGCUGUAGAGCCCAAGAAGUGCCAAUUUAGCAGGGAGCGCUUAUAGCUUCUCUGUGGAAGAGGCCAAAAAACUUGUCUCAGGUUGACUGAGGAUAUAUUUAAUACAUGAUCUUCCCAAGUUAAGUCUUCUUGCUUUCCCUCCUAAAGAAACUGGCCUCCCUAAAAAAACGCCCAAGUCAACUGAACUCCAGGGAAAAAAGGGUUUCCUUUGGGAAUAACCACUUGUUCUCUUAGCCAAGAGUGACCUGCUGACACUUGGUUUCAGCUGGAGAGGGAAAGUCAUUUGUGCACUCUGAUGUAUGUAUGCAGGCAAGGUGUGCACCAUAUAAGCUUUUUUGUAAUGAGUUGGGGUGGAGUUGUUCCUCAUGAGUCCUGAAGUGUAACUCACUUACGUGACUCAUCCUAAAGUAGCCCUGAUGGCUCUUUACCCCAUCAUGUGCCAACUAACUGUUUUUGCAGGAAGGAAAAAAAAAAAAAAAAAAAAAGGAAUAUUUUAGCAAUCUUAAAAGGCUUAUUGGAACAAUUCUCCACUCCCUUGCUCCCUAGUGUUCAAAUCCAGACUUUUUUUUUAAUCUUAAAUAAGGCUUUGUGUGCCCAAAAGAUUGUGCGAUUUUUCCAUCUCUUAGCUGAUCUAAUAAAAAAUAAUU